UGGCAAUCCUGGCUGCUUUCUGCACUUGAACAUAAAGUCCUCCUCAAGACGGCCUGUGGUCUGCCUCUUGGCCCUGCCUUUAGGGUAGAAGAACCAAUGUACCAUGUCCCGCAGCGAGUGAGGUUGGUGGCUGGUCUGGCUGCUCCUGGCACACACUCGCAGAGGUGGCUGGUUGCUGUUUGAGCCAGCUUGGCCUUGCCUGGCAUGCACAAGUCUCAGUGCAACAACUGUGCUACAAAUGGAGCCACAGAGAGGAAAUGAGCGGCAGAGUUAGGAGCAGGAUGUGCGCUGCCUUUGGGGCUCCAGUCCAUGCCUCGGGUCGAAUGGCACUGCAGGCUUCUUGGUUGCCAAGAGGCAGACCACAGGCCCUCUUGAGGAGGACUUCAUGUUCAAGUGCAGAAAGCAGCCAGGAUUACCAUCCAAGGGACUCGGCCUUCUGUGGCCCUGGCCAGACUCAGAAUUUGUGCCAAGGCAGGACAAGCUCACUCGGAGCAGCGUGUCAGUAGCUGGGGCCUAUGUAUGCCAGGCAAGGCCAAGCUGGCUCAAAGAGCAACCAGUCACCUCUGCAAGGGUGCACCUGUGGUCUGGAGGUUGGUGGCUCCCUGUGUUAGUCCUCCAAGCCCAUAUUUUCCUUCUGCAGUGCCCUCGCAGAGGUUUCUGAAGAGGCUCUGCCUCUGCAGCAUGCUUCUGCCUGGAAACAGUGGGAGGUAGUUUUGCAGGGUGGAAGCCUUCACCAGUGGUUAAGCACCAUCUUCAUGAUGCUGACCUCGUGAUAGUGAGUUCUCAUGAGAUCUGCUUGUAUAACAUGAUGUGGCACCUCUUUCCUCUCUCUGUCUUGCUCCUUCUCCUGCUGUAUGAAACAUCUCCUUGCCCCUUGGUCUUCUAGUAUGAUUGGGAGGCACCUGAGUCCUCCCAGAAGCAGAAGCCACUGUGCUUCCUUUGCAGCCUGCAGAACCGUGAGCCAAUGAAACCUCUUUUCUUUUUGAUCAUACAGAAGGUUAGUACUGUGAAGUGAAGCUAUGAAAUUCCUUCAGGGCCUUUUCCCUAUGAAAUGCCUUCAAGGCCUUUUCCCCAUUGUCUUGGCAAGCAGCACUCAGCUUCUUUUCAUGCAAAUAUCUGAAGCCUGUGUGAAUUUUUUCCCUGAAAAUGGACUUUUCUUCUUUUACCACAUUGCCAGGCUGUGACACAGAGAGCUGAUAAUGUAGAAGCAGGUUCAGUAGUGGGUAAAAGACAGAGGUCGGGAGAGUUGGGAAAGCUUAAAAGACAGCAAGAUGAGGAAAAGCUUGGACCCCUGUAGAGAAUUGUUAAAUACUUGUGAUCAGAAGGCUGACAGAAGGAUGGACAGUGAAGGCCAGACUUAAAAGUUCUCGGAUAAAAAUCAGGAAUUUCCUGUGAAUAGGAGCCAAAGCUACAUUUGAUUUGCCCAACAGAGGCUGCACAGUGACCUUGCCCUGGAGAUCUGUGAAUCUAUGAACUUGGGGGUGAUGAUUUAGGAUGUAUCUUGUGGAAUGAACAUCUAAGCAGCAUAGCUCAAGAGGUGUCCUGUCUGCGUCGAACAGCCUGUGUUGUUAUGUAUGAGCUAAGAAAUGACCUCAAGUUGGAUCUUCUACUUAAAUGAGAAGCGGAGCUCAGAAGUUUGGAAAAUUUGCAGCCUAGUCAAGUGGUUAAAAAGAAAAGCUGAUUUUCAGGGGGAAAAUUCAAUAAGGCUUAGAGUAUUUGCAUAAAAAGGAGGUUAGUGCAAGUGUCCAAGACAAAGGGUAAAAGGCCUUGAAGGCAUUUCAGAGACCUUUGCAGUAGCCUUUGCUCUCACAGGCCCUGGGGCCUAGCAGAGAAGAAUGGUUUACUGGGCCAGCUCCAUGGCCCUGCUGCUGUGUGCAUCCUCAGGACACUGCUGCCUGCAUCCCUGCAGCCCCAGCUCCAGCCAUGGCUGAAUGAUGCACAGGUACAGCUUGGGUCACUACUUCACAUGUGGCUCCAAGCCUUGAUGGCUUCCACAUAGUGUUAAGGCAGCAGGUGAAGAGAGCAAGAGACUAGAGGCUUUGGAGCCUCUUGUCUGGACUCCAGAGGAUGUAGAGAAAAGCCUGGGUGUCCAGGCAGUAGCCUUUCCAAGAGGCUCAUGGAAAACCUCUGCUAGGGCAGCAAAGAAGGGCCAUGUAGGGUUGAAGCCCCCUCACAGGGAGGCUCCAUUCUCCAAACCCCAGAUUCAUAGACCCACCAACAUCUUGCACCCUCAGUGUGGAAAAGCUACAGGCAUUCAAAACAGCCCUGUCCAUGAGAGGCAGCUGUGGGUGCUGAACGCUGCAAAGCCACAGGUGCAGAUCUGCCCAAGGCCUUGGGAGCCCAGCCCUCACAGCCCUGUGCCAUGGAUGUGGGACAAGGAUUCAAAAAGGAUGAUUUUGGAGCUGUCGGAUUGAAUGACUGGCCUGCUGGGUUUUGGAUGUUCAUGUAUCCUGUGAGUCCCAUCUGUGUUUUGUUUUUCUUUCUGGCAUUUUUUUUUUCUACUGGCUGGGAAUGCUUACUCAUUGCCUGUACAAUCAUUGUGCCUUGGAAUUAGAUAACUUGCUUUAUAAUUCAGAAACCCAGGGGCAGAUCGGACUGUAGCCUUGUCUCAGACGAGACUUUGGGCUUUGGACAUUUGAGUAAAUGCUGGAAUUAUUUAAGAUUUGGGGGCCUGUAGGGCAGGUAUCAUUGUAUUCUGCAAUGUAAGAAGCAGGAGAUUUCGGGGACCAGGGACAGAAUAAUAUGAUUUGGCUCUGUGUCCCUACCAAAGCUCGUGGAAUUGUAAUGGGCAAAGUUAAAGGUGGGGACUGGUGGAAGGUGAUUUAAUCAUGGUGGAGAGUGGAGUUUGGA
rnacentral:lncRNA from 10 species